rnacentral:rRNA from 1 species
GACGAACCGUGCGAACGUUAUUCGGAAUCACUGGGCCUAAAGAGCUCGUAGGCGGCUUGUCGCGUCUGCUGUGAAAACUCGGGGCUUAACCCCGGGCCUGCAGUGGGUACGGGCAGACUAGAGUGCGGUAGGGGAGACUGGAAUUCCUGGUGUAGCGGUGAAAUGCGCAGAUAUCAGGAGGAACACCGGUGGCGAAGGCGGGUCUCUGGGCCGUAACUGACGCUGAGGAGCGAAAGCGUGGGGAGCGAACAGG